rfam:Schistosoma haematobium scaffold944_9, whole genome shotgun sequence.
AUUCAAAUGACAAGUCCCAAAUAGGAUGAAACGUGCGUUCUGGAU